UAAGAGCGUUAGUAGAGAGCUUGAGAAGAGUCGUUUUUCCCCCUCUCAUUUGGUUUGAUUUGGUCCAACAACGUUUUGAUUAUCCGAUUAUGUGCAUUAAAGUCUUACAGUUGUAAUAACAAGAAGUUGUUAGUCUUUCUAUCAAUAAUUUUUUUUCAAUUUCUCCCCGUCAAAAUGUCUAAACAUUCUAAAGACGAAAGCCAUGGUUCUAAUCAAGCAAAACGUGCUAGAACCUCUAAAACCGUUUCUCGUUGUUAUGAUUGCGAACAAGUUUAUCAACCAAUUUCAAAAGAACACAAGUUUUGUACUAAAUGUAGUGCGGAUAAACCCAUAAACGCUGUUGCUGUAGAUCAAAGUAAUCUAGGAAACAAAAAAUCUCAGCCCAGUCUAAGUCUAAGAAAGCCAUCUGUUUGGAAAUUGGAACCAAUAAAAUUGGUACCUAAAAACCAACCUGGCAUUCUUUCUGUUCCCAAUGGCAGUUUGUUAAUUGACCUCGCAGGGAUGAAUUCACGCUCAGGAAUUCCACAUAUCAAUUUACCGAUGGAAACUGCAAAGCGAACACUCACAGAAAUCAGAACUAAAGAAGUUGAUGCUGUUCAAGUCAUAAAAAAUAUCUCAUCUAGCAGCACCACUUUAGGAUCUGAAACAACAACAACCUGUGCUAUUGGGAAAAUUUCCUCAGCAACAGGUACUGGUAUUCUGAGGAAAUCAACUGACAGUAUUCCAUUAGCUGUUAGGAAAUCAACUGACAGUAUUCCGUUAGCUGUUAUUGAUUUAUCUACAUCGUCUUGUGAUGAAUCCAAUAAUGAUGAAGAUGAGAAUCAAGUCAUUUGCAUGGAAAAUGCCAUUUCAUCCCAGAUAGCUAGCUUUAAAAAUGAGGCUGGUGAUUCUUGCCCUUCUGAAUCCCAUCAAUUAACUCAGUUAAGCAAAACUGAUUUAUGCCGUUCAAUGCCACCGUCGAAGUCAAGCGGUUCCGGCGAGAAGCCUAGUACGGAAUUGUUGGAUAAUCCCGAACAUUUAACAAUCCGAAAUGUUCCUCAACAUGUUUCAAACCAUAUGUUAGACUUCUCAACUUUGGAGUUGGAUGAUCUGAGAGUCAAAGAAGUGGAACUAAAAAAGAUGUUAAUUCCAUAUCAGUUGGAUUAUGAUGAAAUCUCUUCUGUACAAAAAAGGAUAACUGAACUAGAAUCCAGGCAUUCCGCCGAGAAAGAAAUGCUAUUCGACAAAGAAGGUGUUGUAAAAUCCUUCGAAUUAAAAGUCGUCCAGUCUCAAUGCGUAGUAGAAGCUUUUGCAGAAGAAAGAGAUUCGCUGCUCAACCACAUAAAAGAAGCCGGUGCUGCUGUAGAACUGGCUCGAUCGUCAUGCGAUUCUACUGAAAUGGGAGUCAACGAAAUCAAACGAAAAUUGGAAGAAUCCAAAGAUGACGUUGUAAAGAAUUACUUACUCACCAUCUUGGCGAAAAAAGAAGAAAGAGCAAAGGACGCAGAAGCUAAAGCCAAGUAUACCGUUUCCCAACUUGAAGAGGCGGGAAAAGAUCUGAAGAAAACAGAAGAGGACCUUAAAUCGAAAGAGGCUGUUCAUCACGAAAUGUUAUUGCAAGGGGAAAAGUUGAAAUCAGAACUGAUGGCAUUGCACGAUACCUGCAAUUCUACUGAUAAAGAAGUCAAACGUGCUCAUUCACAACUGGAGUCUCUUCUGCAAGGAAAUAAUUUGGAAAACUUUUGUAAAUACUUCGAACUCAAGGAGCAGUUGCUUGAAAUACAAUGCAAAAUUGAAUGCUCAGAGCACGAAAGAAAACUGGAAAAGGAAAGGAAAGAAUUCCAGCAAUCACUUGAAAUUAAACUCGUACUGAAAAAGAAGGAUCUAGACACGGAAAGAGAAAAAAGAAGUCAGAUGUUGUCGCUGUCACCUUGAGUUUUGCUGCUUUCCAGUCGAACUUCGAAAUUUUUUUUUUUUUUGUUGGCGCGUUCUUCGGUUGAUUUGAAUUAAAUCAUUUUUCGUAUUUGGAAAUACUUCGUAAACACGGAAUAAUGUUGAAUUGAAAUUACAAACGUUUCUCCCUUG
rnacentral:misc_RNA from 1 species